GACGAACGCUGGCGGCGUGCUUAACACAUGCAAGUCGAACGGUGAAGCGCCUUCCUUUUUGGUGGGUGUGGAUGAGUGGCGAACGGGUUAGUAACACGUUAGUAACCUUCCCCCUUCUUCUGGAUAACCGCAUGAAAGUGUGGCUAAUACGGGAUAUUCUGGGUCUGUCGCAUGAUGGGUCUGGGACAGAUAUUGUUUCGGUGGGGGAUGGGGUCGCGGCCUAUCAGCUUGUUGGUGGGGUGAUGGCCUACCAAGGCGGUGACGGGUAGCCGGCCUGAGAGGGUGGACGGUCAUACUGGGAAGGAGAGACGGAGAAGACUCCUAGGGGAGGCAGUAGUGGGGAAUAUUGCACAAGGGGCGGAAGGAUGAUGCAGCGACGCCGCGUGAGGGAUGGAGGCCGUCGGGUUGUGAACUUCUUUCGCGAGUGAAGCAGGCCGGCAGCGUUUGUGGGUGGGUUGACGGUAGCUGGAUAAGAAGCGCCGGCUAACUACGUG
rnacentral:rRNA from 1 species